UUUGAAGAAAUUGUUGCUACCUCAGUUAAAUCACUGAUCCUACUUUAUCUCACCCUAGAAUAACUUCUGGGCUCUGAGGCUGCUACUGGAGCACCUGUCCUACGAAAAGCACGUUCUCCAUGGCACUGUCUCCCUGAUUCUGAGAGACCUCAGUCAUCAGAAAGCAACAGUCCUAAAACUGUGAGUAAACACUCGCUGCUGAGCUCUGUUUGUUUAUGGAAAUAGCAGCAGAGAUAAUCCUCAGCUCUUGGAAAGCAGCCAGUGCUCUGGAGAAGGCAAGGAUGCCAAUGCCAGGAGCAGCCCAGGUGAGUUGUCUCAGCAGCCCCUCUGUUUGCAGGUGGCAGAACCUCGGUGCCCAGUACGUGGGCGAGUUCCUGUGCCUGUUCCUGACCUGCAGGCACCAGGAGAUGCAGAACAUUGGCCUCUUCACCCUGAACAUCAUCACAGAGAACCUGCACAUGUGUCCGUGGGCAAAGCAUCUCAGCACCUUUUUCCACAAUUCAGGAUUGAGGCACCUCCCCCUUGGCACAGCAGCUCACCACGAAGUCUCAAAGUUCAUACAAAUUUUUGAACAACUGUGAUUCGACUUCAGAUCUUCGGGAACGUUUUCCAGUUUUUCUGAGCAAUGUCUUCCUGGAGCCCCUUGGUUUUCCUUUGGUUUUUCAUCUCCAGAAACAUUCAGCUAAAAACCAACUUCAGGCCAGGACCCUGAGCUGGGAGAGGGACAGAGCUGUGGUUUGGGAAUUUCCUUUCUUGCAGUUCCACGUGUUGGAAGGGGUUUAAGUUGUUUUUAAAGAGCUGAUCCCCAGAGAUUCUGGGAGAGGGGCACGGAUGGAGUUGGAGCAGAGCGAGUUUUCACUCCUGUGGGGACAGGACAAGACAGAACUGCUGAGAGGGGAAAAGCUCAAACCAGGGAAAUUCCUGUUUUCCAUGAAACCACGAGCCACUGGAGGCUGAAAGAGGGACUGAAACUUCAGUGAUCCCGGUCUGGCAGCAAAGGAAGACAAAUGUUCCCAUGUGCCAAACUGCACUUUGCACAUUUAGGGGUUUGGGAGGGGUUUGUGGCUUUUUGUUAUCCCAAAGAAGCUGCAGUUACUUGAGUUUUCUGAGGAGUGUAUUGAAAUCAACAGCACAUCAAUUAAAUAUUGUCACUUGUAUUGUUUUGUUUGAGAAGUGUUUUUUGUUUGUUUGGGAGUGUUUUUUGUUUUUGUUUGGGAGUGUUUUUUGUUUUUGUUUGGGAGUU
rnacentral:lncRNA from 1 species